GUGCUCGCUUCGGCAGCACGUAUACUAAAAUUGGAAGGAUUCAGAGAAGAUUAGCAUGGCCCCUGCACAAGGGUGACACGCAAAUUCGUGAAGCGUUCCAUAUUUAA
rnacentral:snRNA from 1 species